GUUAUGUGAAUACAUAGCAUAACGAGGCGAACCGGGGGAACUGAAACAUCUAAGUACCCCGAGGAAAAGAAAUCAACCGAGAUUCCGAAAGUAGCGGCGAGCGAAAUUGGACUAGCCCUUAAGCUUUACACGCGUUAGACGAACGGUCUGGAAAGUCCGACGAUACAGGGUGAUAGUCCCGUAGUUGACGACGUGUGUUCAGUGAAAUCGAGUAGGGCGGGACACGUGAUAUCCUGUCUGAAUAUGGGGGGACCAUCCUCCAAGGCUAAAUACUACUGACUGACCGAUAGUGAACCAGUACCG
rnacentral:rRNA from 1 species